GACAUGGGAGGCCACCAGAGAGCAGGCAGGCGGCUUUGUAGCGAACUCAGGAGAGGGCCCUGCUCGCCAUUGCCCCAUGAGACUCUCCUGUGCUCUGCUGCCCUCGCUUAGGUUUCCUAGCCUGAGAGGAGGGCUGGGGUGGCGGCGGUGGUGGCGGCAGCAGCUGAUAAAGGCACGCAUCGCCUCAGCUUCAGAGAUGCAGGGCUCAGCGGCAGGUUGAAAUCCAAAGUCCUUUUCAGAGUGGCUCCGCACACCAUGGUGGCCAGCGGCUGAGGUUCUGCUGGGGCGGGGCUGAGAAGGACGAUGGCAAAUGGGCCCCCCAAAGUGCUCGGUGGGUAUGGGGCCCAGGACGGCAGAGCUGCAACAAGGCAGGUGGGCGGGGCUGAGGUGGCACUAAUAAAGAAUUGUAAGAUA
rnacentral:lncRNA from 1 species